rnacentral:rRNA from 1 species
GAGUUUGAUCCUGGCUCAGAUUGAACGCUGGCGGCAUGCCUUACACAUGCAAGUCGAACGGCAGCAUGAUCUAGCUUGCUAGAUUGAUGGCGAGUGGCGAACGGGUGAGUAAUACAUCGGAACGUGCCCUGUAGUGGGGGAUAACUAGUCGAAAGAUUAGCUAAUACCGCAUACGACCUGAGGGUGAAAGUGGGGGACCGCAAGGCCUCAUGCUAUAGGAGCGGCCGAUGUCUGAUUAGCUAGUUGGUGGGUAAAGGCCCGCCAAGGCGACGAUCAGUAGGCUGGUCUGAGAGGACGAUCAGCCACACUGGGACUGAGACACGGCCCAGACUCCUACGGGAGGCAGCAGUGGGGAAUUUUGGACAAUGGGCGAAAGCCUGAUCCAGCAAUGCCGCGUGUGUGAAGAAGGCCUCGGUUGUAA